UUGCGGGAAUCAAAAAAGUGAUGUUCGAUGCGUUUCUCGGCGAAAUCCGCCGACGGAAUGCGGGUUCAGUUCGGAAUUAUUUCGACGGUGCUUCGUGAGCUGAUGUGUAGUCGUUGAGCCUUAUUGGCUGGUCACCCGUGUCAUUUCGAGGGUUCGGAAAUGACGGGUGAAAGACGGUGGGUUCCGGUGUCGAAAUAGACACUUCUGGGAACCCGGAUCGGAAUAAUUAUCCGACGAUAAUCGUUUCAAUGUGAGGCUAGGUGUUUGCUGCCAAGAGCCAUGAAUAAUGGCGUUUAGUGGCAGCGAGUGACUCGUAGUGCGAGUCAGUGAGUUCCGGGACAGUCCGUGGGUCCCGGCAGAGUCUCGGUGUAGUUUUCGGGAUUUCCGGUUUGUUCGGUAAUCGGUUUUGGGAAACCGAUCUCCGUGGGAUUGUUUGUGGGUUGUGUAUUCAGUGGUUUAUUUGUGGGGUUAUGCUUUUAAGGGUUUCUUAGUCGUAGGUUAGA
rnacentral:lncRNA from 1 species